GCGAACGCUGGCGGCGUGCUUAACACAUGCAAGUCGAACGGAAAGGCCCUGCUUUUGUGGGGUGCUCGAGUGGCGAACGGGUGAGUAACACGUGAGUAACCUGCCCUUGACUUUGGGAUAACUUCAGGAAACUGGGGCUAAUACCGGAUAGGAGCUCCUGCUGCAUGGUGGGGGUUGGAAAGUUUCGGCGGUUGGGGAUGGACUCGCGGCUUAUCAGCUUGUUGGUGGGGUAGUGGCUUACCAAGGCUUUGACGGGUAGCCGGCCUGAGAGGGUGACCGGCCACAUUGGGACUGAGAUACGGCCCAGACUCCUACGGGAGGCAGCAGUGGGGAAUAUUGCACAAUGGGCGGAAGCCUGAUGCAGCAACGCCGCGUGCGGGAUGACGGCCCUCGGGUUGUAAACCGCUUUCGCCUGUGACGAAGCGUGAGUGACGGUAAUGGGUAAAGAAGCACCGGCUAACUACGUG
rnacentral:rRNA from 1 species